rnacentral:rRNA from 1 species
GACGGAGGAUGCAAGUGUUAUCCGGAAUCACUGGGCGUAAAGCGUCUGUAGGUGGUUCGAAAAGUCCACUGUUAAAAAUUUGAGGCUUAACUUCAAAGAUGCCGUGGAAACUUUCAAACUAGAGUAUGGUAGGGGUAGAGGGAAUUUCCAGUGGAGCGGGUGAAAAUGCGUAGAUAUUGGAAAGACCACCGAUGGCGAAGGCACUCUACUGGGCCAUUACUGACACUGAGAGACGAAAGCUAGGGGAGCAAAUGGG